CUCAGGAUGAACGCUGGCGGCGUGCCUAAUACAUGCAAGUCGAACGAGGUGCUUUUGUAGCAAUACGAGAGUAUCCUAGUGGCGAACGGGUGAGUAACGCGUUGGUGACCUACCCCAAAGUGUGGGAUAACAGUCCGAAAGGAUUGCUAAUACCGCAUGUGGUCUUCGGAUUUAGAAACUGAUGACUAAAGAAGCAAUUCGCUUUGGGAGGGACCUGCGUCCCAUCAGCUAGUUGGUGAGGUAACGGCUCACCAAGGCGACGACGGGUAGGGGACCUGAGAGGGUGGCCCCCCACAAUGGAACUGAAACACGGUCCAUACACCUACGGGUGGCAGCAGUAGGGAAUAUUGCUCAAUGGGCGAAAGCCUGAAGCAGCAACGCCGCGUGUGCGAUGAAGGCCUUCGGGUCGUAAAGCACUUUUCUGGGAGAUGAGAAAGGACAGUAUCCCAGGAAUAAGUCUCGGCUAACUACGUGCCAGCAGCCGCGGUAAAACGUAGGAGGCAAGCGUUAUCCGGAUUCACUGGGCGUAAAGCGCGUGCAGGUGGCGCGGUAAGUUAGGCGCGAAAUCUCCCGGCUCAACUGGGAGAGGUCGUCUAAUACUACCGUGCUUGAGAGCAGAAGAGGAAGAUGGAAUUCCCGGUGUAGUGGUGAAAUGCGUAGAUAUCGGGAGGAACACCAGUGGCGAAGGCGAUCUUCUGGUCUGUUUCUGACACUCAUACGCGACAGCUAGGGUAGUAAACGGGAUUAGAGACCCCGGUAAUCCUAGCCGUAAACGAUGUGAACUUGGCGUUGGUGGGUUAAACUCCAUCAGUGCCGUAGCAAACGCGAUAAGUUCACCGCCUGGGGACUACGG
rnacentral:rRNA from 1 species